rnacentral:lncRNA from 1 species
GCGGAAAGAGCGUUCUGUUUGGCUGUCAGUGUGUGUGCAUUAAAAACCUGGGCAUUUUCCGGCUUUCCAGAGUCUUCAUUUCUCACUAACUUUUAGAGCCAAAGAUGCUGCGGGAUUCUACAGCUCAGCAGAGCAUGGGGGCAGGGCAUGCCAGGCGAGUGACCUCAGUCCUAGUGUACUCUCUCUAACACUCAAGUGGAAGACGCCUGAUGGUGUUCUCUGCACUGCAGUUGUGGGCGACUGGAGCAGCUGCUGCUUGGAUAGCAAGUGCAAGACUAAGAGGGAGGACAUGCUGCUGCAUCCCGGCAGUCAGAGCACCACCCGCGGUUGUGAAGAAGACUCCCAUACCGCAGGCGAGGCCGUGGCCUGUGCCUUAGCCAUCACCCGCCCAGUGCUACAACUGUCUACACUGAUUCUCAGUUGCUAUGGCUACACUAUCCAGGGCUGGUACGGACAGGCCUCCUACAGGACAAGUGCCAGGGGAGCUGGAGCGGCCCAUGAAGGCUCUGGCCGCUUCCAACUGCGGAAGAGACCAGAACUCAGCCUGCAUCCUCUGCUCUUCUGUCGCUGUUUUGUUGUCUACUAAAAACAAACAAACAAACAAAACAAAACACCUGCCUGUAAAUACAUCCCACUGAUUUUAAUUUUACAAAGUAGUUCUG